AACGAACGCUGGCGGCGUGCCUAACACAUGCAAGUCGAGCGCGAAUAGGGGCAACCCUUAGUAGAGCGGCGCACGGGUGCGUAACACGUGGGUAAUCUGCCUGGAAGUUUGGGAUAACUAGCCGAAAGGUUAGCUAAUACCAGAUAAGCCCCCGGGGACGUUCGGUCCUUGAGGGAAAAGAUGGCCUCUGCAUGCAAGCUAUCACUACUAGAUGAGCCCGCGGCCCAUCAGCAGUUGGCGGGGUAAUGGCCCACCAAGGCAACGACGGGUAGCUGGUCUGAGAGGACGAUCAGCACACUGGAACUGAGAUACUGUCC
rnacentral:rRNA from 1 species